CAGGCAAUGUUUGAAACUAAAAUGAGUGCAAAUGAUAGUUUAAACAUUCACAAGCACAAAUAGCAUCACCAGGAAAUCAGUAAGCACAUUCAAGCAAUCAAUAUCUCACUGAAUUCANCAAACAAUUUAUGAACUAAAUUGAUUUCAAAAGCUUCUUAAGCAGUCACAAUUGUUCCAAUCAAAGCAACUCUGCUCAGACAAUUAUUCCAGAUUCAACAGAGUAUAUAUUGCAAACAACUACAAACCAUACAAGAGCAGUUCAAUCACAGUAAAAGUAUUUGAAGGUAGAAGAAACUCCCUUCAAUUUAGAUGACUGCUUUUGGCGUGCUCCAACUAAUCAAUUAUGCACACUNUUGCAACUACUGAUAAUUCAACUUCUGGACAGCAUUUAUACCUGUAGAGAUCAACCAAAAAGAAGACUGCACAACUCUAAAUAGUUAGAACAGUUCAAUUUAACACUUAUUUCAGGUCUUAAACAAGAACACACUCUCAACAAGAAAUUUGGCUCUUAGAUACAGCCAUACAAAGCUCACAACAACAAGUUCAACUCUGGAAGCUCAAA
rnacentral:lncRNA from 1 species